CAUGGGGGAGGCAUGCGACCUUGUGCGUUUCUUUCCAAAUCCCUUGACUCCGUGGCUCAGGGUUUGCCGGCCUGUCUUCGUGCCGUUGCCUCCUGUGCUCUGAUGGUAACUGAUGCUGAAAAGAUCAUUCUAUCUCAUCCUCUGAUUCUGCACACCUCACAUCAGUGAUCAGAAGUAAGAACUGACGGCCAUCGGUAGAACUUAUUCUUCCACAGAGUUGAAGAGGGGGAAUGGUCUAAGUAAGCCCGUGGAUGACCUCUGUCGCACCUCAGACCUUCCUGUGCCGCCUCUUCAGACAUUCUCCACAUUGCAGGAAGUGUCGGGAGAAGCAGCGAGGGACUGAACAGCAACCUCUUCUUGAGAAAAGCACAGCCAGUGACCGGUAUGGCUGCCACCGCUCUCCGAGAACCGCAGUAAAUGCGUUUGCGAAAUUCAUCUAAUGAUCAAUACACUGAUACAUUCAUGUGAUUAUACUUAUUAGUUAUUAAGUAUAAAAGAGGGGAUUGUUGAAAUGUAUUCUUUAGUAGCCUUGGCGAACCUUCCUAUCUUGACCUUCUUGGAGACAGGAUGCUCCUGUCUUUGCUGACCUGUACAUUUUGUGCUAUCGCGUGACGUGACAGGAGGAUAGAAGACCAAGGGCGUUCAGUUAGAAGAUAGCUAUAAGCACAUCCUGUUCCUUUUUCUUACACACAUAUUUUCUUACGCACAUAUGUUUCUGACCCCUGGCAACACACGAUAACUCUGUCUGUGUCCCCGCCUUUCCUACGCACUAUGGCUUGGACUGAUGUGUAUAUCUACCCGGCCUUGCAGCUCAGUCCUUUGAGCAGUGGUAUUGAAUAAACCAGACUUGAUUUUAA